rnacentral:rRNA from 1 species
AGUGAACGCUGGCGGCAGGCCUAACACAUGCAAGUCGAACGGCAGCACAGUAAGAGCUUGCUCUUACGGGUGGCGAGUGGCGGACGGGUGAGGCAUACAUCGGAAUCUACUUUUUCGUGGGGGAUAACGUAGGGAAACUUACGCUAAUACCGCAUACGUUCUACGGGUGAAAGCAGGGGAGCUUCGGACUUUGCGCGUUUGAAUGAGCCGAUGUCGGAUUAGCUAGUUGGCGGGGUAAAGGCCCACCAAGGCGACGAUCCGUAGCUGGACUGAGAGGAUGAUCAGCACCACUGGAACUGGGACACGGCCCAACCCCGGACGGGGGGCAGCAGUGGGAAUCAUUCGAGAAGGGGCGCAGGCUUGAUCCGGACAUACGGCGUGGGUGAGGAAGGCCUUCGGGUUGUAAAGCCCUUUUGUUGGGAAGGAAAAACGGCAGGUUAACAGCGCGCUUUUCGGCGGUAACCCAAAAAAAAGGCACGGCUAAAUUCGUG